GCGGGUAUAGCUUAGUGGUAAAGUUCCUGCCUUCCAAGCAGGCCAUGAGGGUUCGAUUCCCUCUACCCGCUCCA
rnacentral:tRNA from 1 species